rnacentral:rRNA from 1 species
AUCAUGGCUCAAAUUGAACGCUGGCGGCAUGCCUCCUUUUGCAAGUCGAACGCGAAAGGGGGCAACCCUGAGUAGAGUGGCGCACGGGUGAGCAAUACAUCGGAACAUACCCAGUAGUGGGGGAUAACCAGUCGAAAGAUUGGCUAAUACCGCAUACAACCUACGGGUGAAAGCGGGGGACCGUAAGGCCUCGCGCUAUUGGAUUGGCCGAUGUCUGAUUAGCUAGUUGGUGAGGUAACGGCUCACCAAGGCGACAAUCAGUAGCUGGUCUGAGAGGAUGAUCAGCCACACUGGGACUGAAACACGGCCCAAACUCCUACGGGAGGCAGCAGUGGGGAAUUUUGGACAAUGGGGGCAACCCUGAUCCAGCAAUGCCGCGUGAGUGAAGAAGGCCUUCGGGUUGUAAAGCUCUUUCGGCCGGGACGAAAUCGCUCUGGUGAAUAUCCGGGGUGGAUGACGGUACCGGAACAAGAAGCACCGGCUAACUACGUG